GAUGAAGAACGUAGCGAAAUGCGAUAAGUAGUGUGAAUUGCAGAAUUCAGUGAAUCAUCGAAUCUUUGAACGCACAUUGCGCCCCUUGGUAUCCCGAGGGGCAUGCCUGUUCGAGCGUCAUUUCACCACUCAAGCCUGGCUUGGUGUUGGGCGACGUCCCCUUUGGGGACGCGCCUCGAAACGCUCGGCGGCGUGGCACCGGCUUUAAGCGUAGCAGAAUCUUUCGCUUUGGAAGUCGGGGCCCCGUCUGCCGGAAGACCUACUCGCAAGGUUGACCUCGGAUCAGGCAGGGAUACCCGCUGAACUUAAGCAUAUUCAAUAAGCGGAGGA
rnacentral:misc_RNA from 1 species